rnacentral:rRNA from 1 species
AACUUUCAACAACGGAUCUCUUGGUUCUGGCAUCGAUGAAGAACGCAGCGAAAUGGGAUAAGUAAUGUGAAUUGCAGAAUUCAGUGAAUCAUCGAAUCUUUGAACGCACAUUGCGCCCCUUGGUAUUCCGAGGGGCAUGCCUGUUCGAGCGUCAUUUC